CAGGACCCUGGGAUCAUGACCUGAGCCGAAGGCAGACGCUUAACGACUGAGCUACCCAGGCGCCCCAAGAAAGCCGUCUUUCUUGACACAAUUCUGACCAUCAAGGAAGAGCCAGCGGGCAAUGACAAGGAAGUUCUGCUUAUGUUUGCAGGCAGAAGGGAAAGAGCCAGUAGGUGAAGCCGAAGCCACAGCAGACAAGGAAUAAAGCAUGGAGCAGGGGCCUGUCCUGGGGAGCCACCUGGGUUCUAGAAGAAAGGAGGUGAUGACAUGAGUGGAGAGAAAAAUAGUUGGGAUUCCCUGGCGAAAAAGUCCAAUAAGGUAAACCCUCGGAGCAAGCAAGAAGGAUCCCGAAGAAGAAAAUGAGUGGGAUGCAUCCAAGGAAGGCCAGGCGGGCACCAGACAGCUGUCUGCUUGGGCCCCAGGCACAGCACAGACAGCUGUGUUUGCUUGGCCAAAUCUAUUCAACAAUUGGAAUUUUUGUCUGUUCUGCUAUAAAACUGGAAUCAUUCUACCCACCUCAAAGAAUUAUUGUGAAAAUUAAAUGAAAGAAAGGGAAAAGAACCGCAAUUAUUCCCAAGCCUAGAUCCAGAAGUAACUUCUCCCGAGGGUCCUCAUAAAGGAGACAGUGUGUAACUGAAAUAAGCAAAGACUUCAAGGACUUUCGUGCAGUUAAAUGUAAUAUAUUACCUCCAAGAAUCCCUCUAACUCUGUGUUCUAUGAUUAUUUGUAAUUCAAAUUAGAGUAAAUUUUGUUAAAACAAAA